UCAUGUCUAAUUUUAUUAUUUUAAAAUGUUAUAUUGAUUAUAAAUAAAUAAACACAUAUUUUAAAUAUUUUUUUUUCACUCAUGGCCCUGUCGGAUAUAAUUGACACGAACAAAGCAAAAUUUUGGACGGCCGCCAAAAUAAUCUCUGAAUGUUUUUUUUUUUUUUUUUUUGCGAUUUUUUACACAUGCUAUCUCGGAGUAUAUACAAACAUAUUUGACAGUUGGAUCAUUGAAACUAGUUUCGUAGAAUGCAUAUCCUAUCAAAUUGAUAGAUUUAACAAACACUUAAGAGUUAAUGUUAUACUUCCAUUAAGUAUAAAAUACGAUUUAUCCACUAGUGUAAUUAUUUUAAAUUGAAGAUUGAAUUCAUUCAUUGCAUUCUUAUAGUAUCAAGGAGUGUAGCUGCAAAAAAUCAUCAAAAUUGAAGCUAAAAUAACCGUUAAAUUGUGAUUUUUUGUUUAUAACCGUUGAAAACUUUUGUUUUGUUACCUAAUCUCUGACUGUUUGUUUUUUGUGAUUUUUUAUGUAUGUGAUCUCGAAGUAUGUAAAAACAAAUUUGACGAUUAGAUCAUUGAAAAAAGUUGCGUAGAAUGUGUAUCGCGUCAAAACAGUAGAUUAAAUAAACACUUAAGAGUUAAUGUUAUACUUCCAUUAAGUAUAAAAUAAGAUUUUGUGGUAUCCACUAAUAUAAAUAUUUUAAAUUGAAGAUCGAAUUCAUUCAAUGCAUUCUUAUAGGGUCGAGGAGUGUAGCUGUAAAAAAUCAUCAAAAUCGAAGCUAAAAUAACCGUUAAAUUGUGAUUUUUCGUUUAUAACCGUCGAAAACUUUUGUUUUGUUACCUAAUCUCUGAAUGUUUUUAUUUUGUAAUUUUAUACGUAUGUGAUCUCGGAGUAUGUACAAACAAAUUUGACGGUUAGAUCAUUGAAAAAAGUUUCAUAGAAUGUGUAUUGCGUCAAAAUGGUAGAUUAAAUAAACACUUAAGAGUUAAUGUUAUACUUCCAUUAAGUAUAAAAUAAGAUAAAUAUUUUAAAUUGAAGAUCAAAUUUAUUCAUUGCAUUCUUAUAGGGUCAAGGAGUGUAGUUGUAAAAAAUCAUUAAAAUCGGAGCUAAAAUAACUGUUAAAUUGUGAAUAUUUGUUUAUAAUCGUCGAAAACUUUUGUUCCGUUACGUAAUCUCUGAAUGUUUUUUUUUUUACGAUUUUUUACGUAUGCAAUCUCAGAGUGAGUACAAAUAAAUUUGACGGUUGGAUCGUUGAAAAAAGUUUCGUAGAAUGCAUAUCGAGUUAAAACGGUAGAUUAAACAAACACUUAGAGUUAAUGUCAUACUUCCCCAUCAAGUAUAAAAUAAGAUUUUGUGGUAUCCACUAGUGUAAAUAUUUUAAAUUGAAGAUCGAAUUCCUUUAAUGCAUUCUUAUAGGGUUCAGGAGUGUAGCUGUAAAAAAUCAUCAAAAUCGGAGCUAAAGUAACCAUUAAAUUGUGAUUUUUCUUUUAUAACCGUUGAAAACUUUUGUUCUGUUACCUAAUCUCUUGAUGUUUUUUUUUGUGAUUUUUUACGUAUGUGAUCCCGAAGUGUGUACAAACAAGUUUGACGGUUGGAUCGUUGAAAAGCGCUUCAUAGAAUGUGUAUCGCAUCAAAACAGUAGAUUAAACAAACACUUAGAGUUAAUGUUAUACUUCCAUAGAGUUAGUGUUAUACUUCCAUUAAGUAUAAAAUAAGAUUUUGUCAUAUCCACUAGUGUAAAUAUUUUAAAUUGAAGAUCAAAUUUAUUCAUUACAUUCUUAUAGGGUCGAGGAGUGUAGCUGUAAAAAAUCAUUAAAAUCGAAGCUAAAAUGACCGUUAAAUUAUGAAUUUUCGUUUAUAACCGUCGAAAACUUUUGUUCCAUUACUUAAUCUCUUAAUGUUUGUUAUGUACGAUUUUUUACGUAUGCGAUCUUGUAGUAUCUACAAACAAGUUUGACGGUUAGAUCGUGGAAACUAGUUUCGUAAAAUGCAUAACUUUGCCUAAAUUUUGAAGUGGGAAAAGUAAUUUGUGCUAAAUUUUUAUUUAUGUUUUUCAAGUAUUGAUUAGACAAUAUUUAGUUUGUGCGAUGACAUUUUCAUUGUACAAUUCUCUUUUUGUUUUUUUAUCGCAUAUUUUACAUGGAUUAUUA
rnacentral:lncRNA from 1 species